CGGGCCCGCACAAGCGGUGGAGUAUGUGGUUUAAUUCGAUGCAACGCGAAGAACCUUACCUGGUCUUGACAUCCCGGAGACCCUUAGGAAACUAGGGGGUGCUUCCAUCUGGAAGAAUCUGGAGACAGGUGCUGCAUGGCUGUCGUCAGCUCGUGUCGUGAGAUGUUGGGUUAAGUCCCGCAACGAGCGCAACCCUUGCCUUUAGUUGCCAGCAGUUCGGCUGGGCACUCUAAAGGGACUGCCGGUGUUAAACCGGAGGAAGGUGGGGAUGACGUCAAGUCCUCAUGGCCUUUAUGACCAGGGCUACACACGUACUACAAUGGCCGAUACAAAGGGCAGCGACACUGCGAGGUGAAGCCAAUCCCGUAAAAUCGGUCUCAGUCCGGAUUGGAGUCUGCAACUCGACUCCAUGAAGUUGGAAUCGCUAGUAAUCGUGGAUCAGCAUGCCACGGUGAAUACGUUCCCGGGCCUU
rnacentral:rRNA from 1 species